AUGCAGUUAAAGUAAUAUUCUGCAGCAUAAACAAAUGUAACACAUCUAUGCCCAGUUAAAAUCAUAUUCCAUAACAGUGCAUGGCAGUAACAACAGGCCUGAGAAGAACCGUGCUCAACAUGAAGGACACCGAGUCAAUACUGAACACUGUGGAAGACCCUUAAAUCUUUAUUUCAAAUCUUCAAGAAGAAUGCCAUGGCCCUGGCUUCUUGUGGUCCCUAGCCACCAAAUGCUCCGAAGAGGAACACCCUGACAUAAAAUCCAGGGGAUUCCUAACUGGACAGAGAUGGCUGGAUGAAUCUCCCUGACUCCAAGACCACUUGGCACUAAUUUGAAGUGGAUGAGAGUGGUGGGCCUUCAGAGACUGUGCCAACCCUCUGCUUCAAAUAAAAGUUUCAUUAUUUCA